rnacentral:rRNA from 1 species
GAUGAACGCUGGCGGCGUGCCUAAUACAUGCAAGUCGAGCGAACAGACGAGGAGCUUGCUCCUCUGACGUUAGCGGCGGACGGGUGAGUAACACGUGGAUAACCUACCUAUAAGACUGGGAUAACUUCGGGAAACCGGAGCUAAUACCGGAUAAUAUAUUGAACCGCAUGGUUCAAUAGUGAAAGACGGUUUUGCUGUCACUUAUAGAUGGAUCCGCGCCGCAUUAGCUAGUUGGUAAGGUAACGGCUUACCAAGGCAACGAUGCGUAGCCGACCUGAGAGAGGGGUCGGCCACACUAGAACUGAGACACGAUCCAGACUCCUACGGGAGGCAGCAGUAGGGAACCUUCCGCAAUGGGCGAAAGCCUGACGGAGCAAGGCCGCGUGAGUGAUGAAGGUCUUCGGAUCGUAAAACUCUGUUAUUAGGGAAGAACAAAUGUGUAAGUAACUAUGCACGUCUUGACGGUACCUAAUCAGAAAGCCACGGCUAACUACGUG